UAGUGGGGUACCAGGUAGAGGCGUGGUUCCCCUGGGUCCUGAUGGUAGUAGGUACCAGGUAGAGGGCUGGGUUCCCCUGGGUCCUGAUGGUAGUAGGUACUAGGUAGAGGGCUGGGUUCCCCUGGGUCCUGAUGGUAUAGUAGGUACCAGGUAGAGGGGGGGUUCCCCGGGUCCUGGUAUGGUAGUAGGUACCAGGUAGAGGCUGGGUUCCCCUGGGUCCUGUGGUAGUAGGUACCAGGUAGAGAGCUGGGUUCCCCUGGGUCCUGAUGGUAGUAGGUACCAGGUAGGGGGCUGGGUUCCCCUGGGUUCUGAUGGUAGUAGGUACCAGGUAGGUAGAGGGCUGGGUUCCGCGGGGUUGACGAGUCAUGCGGCGUUGUCUAUUGUUUUCAUGCUGUGGGAGGUCAGACAGACAACAUUUGGAUUUAAAUGGUUUUUAUUGUCCUACAGAUUAUUUGUAAACAUGAAUCUCUCUUCUUUGUAUGUGUUACCCUACCUAUUCUAUUAAAAUAAAUUAUUUUACAUAUUAUUCACACGUCAGAGUUCUCUGCUUCAACUUCAGUAGUCUACCCUUAGUUGGGCUUGAGUGCAUCUAGUCCUAGUUGGGCGUGAGAGUGCGUCUGGGUUGGCUGGCAGGUGACUGGGGUUGGUUUGCUGCGGUUCUUGGGUGGGUUGGCUGGCAGGUUGACUGGGUUGGGUUGGCUGGCAGGUGACUGGGGUUGGGUUGGCUGGCAGGUGACUGGGGUUGGGUUGGCUGGCAGUGACUGGGGUUGUGUGGCUGGCAGUGACUUGUGGUUGGCUGGUUGGACGGGGUUGGUGGCUGAGGAGGUUGGGUGGCUGGCAGGUGACUGGGGUUGGGUUGGCUGGCAGGUGACUGGGGUUGGGUUGGCUGGCAUGUGAGGUUGGCAGUGACUGGGGUUGGGUUGGCUGGCAGGGUGACUUCGGGUUGGGUGGGCUGGCAGGUGACUGGGGUUGGGUUGGCUGGCAGGUGACUGGGGUGGGUUGGCUGGCAGGUUGUGGUUGGGUGGCUGGCAGGUGACUGAUGUUGGGUUGGCUGGCAA
rnacentral:lncRNA from 1 species